AUUGAACGCUGGCGGCAGGCCUAACACAUGCAAGUCGAGCGAGUGGCGGACGGGUGAGUAAUGUCUGGGAAACUGCCCGAUGGAGGGGGAUAACUACUGGAAACGGUAGCUAAUACCGCAUACCAUCGGAUGUGCCCAGAUGGGUUUAGCUAGUCGGUGGGGUAAUGGCUCACCUAGGCGACGAUCCCUAGCCGGUCUGAGAGGAUGACCAGCCACACUGGAAAUGAGACACGGUCCAGACUCCUACGGGAGGCAGCAGUGGGGAAGAUUGCACAAUGGGCGCAAGCCUGAUGCAGCCAUGCCGCGUGUGUGAAGAAGGCCUUCGGGUUGUAAAGCACUUUCAGCGGGGAGGCGUUACUCGCAGAAGAAGCACCGGCUAACUCCGUGCCAGCAGCCGCGGUAAUAC
rnacentral:rRNA from 1 species